GAUGAACGCUAGCGGCAGGCUUAACACAUGCAAGUCGAGGGGCAGCAUAAACAUUGCUUGCAAUGUUUGAUGGCGACCGGCGCACGGGUGCGUAACGCGUAUGCAACCUACCUGUAACAGGGGGAUAACACUGAGAAAUUGGUACUAAUACCCCGUAACAUCAUUAGAGGCAUCUCUGAUGGUUGAAAGUUCCGGCGGUUACAGAUGGGCAUGCGUUGUAUUAGCUAGUAGGUGAGGUAACGGCUCACCUAGGCGACGAUACAUAGGGGGACUGAGACGGUUAACCCCCCACAUUGGAACUGAGACACGGUCCAA
rnacentral:rRNA from 1 species